rnacentral:rRNA from 1 species
AUCUUAUAAAAUUACUCUUAGUUCGGAUUGAAAUCUGCAACUCGAUUUCAUGAAGUAGGAAUCGCUAGUAAUCGUAAAUCAGAAUGUUACGGUGAAUACGUUCUCGAGCCUUGUACACACCGCCCGUCACACCAUGGAAGUAAAUUGUAUCAUAAGUAAUUUGAUUAUUAUCAAGGUAUGGUUUGUAACUGGGGUGAAGUCGUAACAAGGUA